rnacentral:rRNA from 1 species
AUGAUAGAAAAAAAAACUAAUGAGCACACAAGCCUUUGUUUUCUCCCUAACAAAUUGACUGCUUUACUUGCGAUGAUAGCAUGCAGAACUUUGUGUUUGUUGAUGGUGGAACUUGCACAAGUAAAUCCACACUUAGUCCGACAAAAUGAUGGCGGCUUCCAUGUAUCCAUGGAGCCGCCAGACCUGAGAAGUACAAAGAAUGAAAACAGGAGUAAAACUGGAGAUGUCAUGAACAUAAAUUUGUCAAAAGUGCAGGAUCAAUGCACAAUAUUUAUCAAACUGAAAGGUGCUAAUUGGUUUGGAAGUACAACAUUCACUUGA